ensembl:lncRNA
CCUCCAUAUGACCCCUAACCUCCAUAUGACCCCUAACCCCCAUAUGACCGCUAACCUCCAUAUGACCCCUAACCUCCAUAUGACCCCUAACCUCCAUAUGACCCCUAACCUCCAUAUGACCCCUAACCUCCAUAUGACCCUGUUAUCAAUGUUAGUAGUGAUGAUUAAUCUAAAGCUGACCAGGUUUCAAGAGAAAAACUUCUGCCAACAAACUCUGGGCUUUGGCUGAGUUCAGUUCUGUUCAGUCCAGUGUGGCUUCAGUACAGCUGCCCUGUGUAGGGGGGAGGGGGACAGAGGUGUCUAGUCCCUAUGGUGGAGGGAGGAUGGAGGGCAGAGGGGACAGAGGUGUGUCUAGUCCCUACGGUGGAGGGAGGAUGGAGGGCAGAGGGGACAGAGGUGUGUCUAGUCCCUACGGUGGAGGGAGGAUGGAGGGCAGAGGGGACAGAGGUGUGUCUAGUCCCUGGAGGGGAGGAUGGAGGGCAGAGGGGACAGAGGUGUGUCUAGUCCCUACAGUGGAGGGAGGGGGAUGGAGGGCAGAGGGAACAGAGGUGUGUCUAGUCCCUACGGUGGAGGGAGGAUGGAGGGCAGAGGGGACAGAGGUGUGUCUAGUCCCUACAGUGGAGGGAGGAUGGAGGGCAGAGGGGACAGAGGUGUGUCUAGUCCCUACGGUGGAGGGAGGAUGGAGGGCAGAGGGGACAGAGGUGUGUCUAGUCCCUACAGUGGAGGGAGGAUGGAGGGCAGAGGGGACAGAGGUGUGUCUAGUCCCUACGGUGGAGGGAGGAUGGAGGGCAGAGGGGACAGAGGUGUGUCUAGUCCCUACAGUGGAGGGAGGAUGGAGGGCAGAGGGGACAGAGGUGUGUCUAGUCCCUACAGUGGAGGGAGGAUGGAGGGCAGAGGGAACAGAGGUGUGUCUAGUCCCUACGGUGGAGGGAGGAUGGGAUGGAGGGCAGAGGGGACAGAGGUGUGUCUAGUCCCUACAGUGGAGGGAGGAUGGAGGGCAGAGGGGACAGAGGAGUGUCUAGUCCCUACAGUGGAAGGAGGAUGGGAUGGAGGGCAGAAGCCGGGAAGUGGUUCCUCCCCGUCAGGCUUUCCCUUCCCAGGCGUCGUCUCUCUGUUUAGCUGCCAGACGCUUCUGCUCUGAAAGACAGACAGACAGGUUGAUAAGAGAGUAAAUCAAUACUACUACUAGCUGUCAAUACAAUCAUAAAGACAAAGACUAGU